rnacentral:tRNA from 3 species
GCGGGUGUGGCGGAAUGGCAGACGCGCCAGACUUAGGAUCUGGUGCCUCCGGGCGUGGAGGUUCAAGUCCUCUCACCCGCA